UGCACAGCGUAUAUAAACGCAACGAACCCUGAGCUGAGUCCCCAUCUUAAAUCAGACAAAACAUAGGAGUAUUUACUAUAUCUUCUUCCUUCGGAGCUCCAUUGAUGAUCUUCUUUAUCCAUUAUAAACGCAUCAGAUCUAUACUGAUCAUCGCAAAAGCUUUAAUCAUGAAAUUAGGGGAUCGGAGAAACCUUCAUUCCUGAAACGCAGACUCAAUCACUCGCUAUGUUCUCCUGAUCAUCUUGCUUGGCUCUGCACUUUAU